GCCUUCCUGAUCAGCUUGUACAGUCUCUUCCUUUCUGCAGUAGAGAUGCUGCUGCACCAGCAAACCACACCAUAGAAUAUGCCUGAGGCCACCACAGAGUCAAAAAGGUCUUCAGCAGCUCUCCCUGCACUCCAAAAGACCUUAGUCUCCUCAGCAGGAAGAGUCUGCUCUGCCCUUUCCUAUAGAUUGACUCAGUAUUGUCUGUCCGUAAGAGUCCACUCUCACAAUAUACUUUCACUAAAUGUUCACUGGUGGUAAUGAAGUUUGUUUGUGCCUACAGAAAUCCACCACCAUUUCUUUGGUUCUUUGGAUACCAGUUGGAGUGCAAGAAGGACGUGGAAGCGUUUCCCUAAACGCAACAAAGAAAAGAGUCCAUUGUUGGGAUGGCUGAGGAAUCUUCUGAGACCAUUGUAAGACACCAGGUAUCAUGUUUUUGCGAAUGGCCGAAAGUGAGGCCCCUGUAUCCAGUGCUGUAUCCACAGCUUUGUCACAAAGAUUAACUUUAACAAUAAAUGGUGUAUUCCAAAAUGAAGGAGUACAGGCCUCCACAUGACCAAGUAUAAGCGGCUCAGUCAGGGACCUAAGACAAGGUUGAGGCACACUUUUCUUCUGGAGGGAAGUUUGCCUCUGUGGAACGUCCUCCCUCCCCUGGAGUUUGAUUUCUGCCAAACAGAGCUUCGGUUUUGCUCACCUCUGUCCUUGUGGGCUGCAGCUUUUACAUUCUCAUUAGUGUUCCAUGGCUCAUUUGAAACUUGACGACUCUGUUAAUCAGUGGUUGAACAUAGUGGCAGUUUGGACAGUUCCAGGUGUCGAAAAUUUGAAACAGUAAGUUUCAUGUGCAUUUAUGUCUGUUUUUCUGCACCGCUGGUUCAUUACGACAGUCAGGACAGUUACUGUACUUUCAGGACUCAGCCCGGACUUUUGGCCAUGUGCGUUUGUUUAUGUUCCGUGUCACGUGUCUGCCCCACCUUUGUUUUCGCCUCCCCGUCUCUACACACCUGUUCCUCAUUGUUUAUUAUGUCUAUUUAACCGUGCAAUGUUUCAGAUGGCAGCGCGGAAUCAUACGUCAGUGUUCGUUAGUGUUUUGUCCUGUUUAGUUUUCGUCCUUGUUCCUGUUGUAUGUAUUAUUAUUUAUUAAAACCUAUUUAUUUGAAGUUA